rnacentral:rRNA from 1 species
UACGUAGGCAGCGAGCGUUGUUCGGAGUUACUGGGCGUAAAGAGUGCGUAGGCGGUUUUCUAAGUUUGGUGUGAAAUCUCCCGGCUCAACUGGGAGGGUGCGCCGAAUACUGAAUGACUAGAGUGCGGGAGAGGUGAGUGGAAUUCCUGGUGUAGCGGUGAAAUGCGCAGAGUAUCAGGAGGAACACCGGUGGCGAAGGCGGAUCUCUGGGCCAUUACUGACGCUGAGGAGCGAAAGCGUGGGGAGCGAACAGG